CCUCCUGCUGGUUUCUGUUGCUACCUUUUGAUAUUUCAGAGCAAGCUGAGUGAGUGACUGUCUAGACAGAGGAAGGUGGGCGGCAAACCACCUUCCUAUGAGCCCCAUGGUGUGCUCGCUGGGCCCUCAACACAAACAUUUUUCAGCAGAGCCAAGCCUUGGAGCUUAUCCUGAGGCCACUGGAGUCCAGUAACUCAUGGUACCUUGUUAAAUUUGCGCACUUCUUUAUCCAUCAUGCAGAUUAUUGCAGUUGGAAUGGGUCCUUUCAACAGUAACUUGAUAUUUAACCUUCCACGGAUCCAUUCUUAAAGCAUUCUCUGGGCACACUCAUUCACUUCAAAAUUAUUUCUUGGACACUUACACUAUGCUAGGCACUAAGUAAAGGUGUAAAACUCGUCUUCCAGGUGUUCACCAUUGGGUCUGACUCCGGUGCAUCAUGACAGCUGCUGUGCACACCUAAGAGGAGUGUGGGCUGUGGUUCUCGCCUUCCACCUGCAUCAAAUCCAGGGGAACACAGUCUCUGAGUGAGAAGGGUUCGUGGCCUUAGAUCCAGCACUGCCUCCUGCCCAUCGCAGAGUGAGCCCUGUACAUCAUCACCAAGUGAGGUGCUUUAGAGCAGACUCCCGCACCAUAUAGACCCUCCCUCCAGUGUCUGGUUUCUGCUUGAGAACGUUCACAUUCAGGAAGCCCUCCACUCUGGCAGCCCAUUCCAUUGUUGAAUCCUUCCAGCUCCUAGAGACCUUUCCUUCCACACCUAACUUCCUUGUAACCUCACCACGGGCCCAGCUUCUGCCCUUAGGAGCUAGGAUGAAAUCAACUGCACAGACCCAAUGCCAGGUCUCUAGGUUGGAGACAUCCCAGCUGAAUCCUGGCCCCCUUCUCUGGCCUUCAUUAUCCCUGUUCCUUCAGUCACCACUCAGGUGCAUUUGUUUUGAGACUACCUCGUCACUGUAUUGCAGAGGCAAGACUGGCACCAGUGGUUAAGCAAUAAUAUGAGCCACCUUAAGACUAGGAGUCAAAUUAGUUCUGUAGCUAUACAAGUGGGCGUGGACUUGUACAUGCACAUGUGCGUGCAAGUGCACCAUUAUGGGAUAGCAGCAUGUUGCCACUGACAGGACAAGAGUGUUCUCCUUGUUUCUACAGGCUUAUCUGAGCCCUCAAAAGGAUUAACAAAGAAACCAACACAUAGGCCAUUCUUCUCCAUGGAGUGCCUUGAUUAGGCCUCUUGAACAUGGAGAGGGACAGAUGUAGGCACUCAAGGAAGACAUGGAAGAGGGAGUGAGGCUCGCGCUCACCUUGAACCUGGUAAGGCUCUCAGCUGGUAGUGUUUCUCUGCUUUUUGUUGUCUGGCCUCUUAAAUAAAUUUCAAGAGGUCGGAAGUCUGCUUCAGGUGUUCUUGUUGGAACACUAGAAGGCAACAGGAUACUAGAAGAUGACAACUUGAAGUGAGAGGGUGCAGAUCGUAGGGCCAGGGCAGGGAAUAUGGACAAUUUCCUCCGCCUGCACUGUGAUUGUGCAACAGGAAACCAACUCGUCUAGUGGGUUACGAAACAGACUGAGCCUCCAGGACUCAGAUUCUGGUAGAGACUGAGGCAGUGGGAGGAUGGAUCCAAGCAGGAAGGUGAAUGAGAUGGAGAGGGGUCAGAUGGCUGGGAGGCAGGGGUGUGGGGGCAGCAUAACUUAGGAGCCCUACAGGUGGAGUCAGGACAGACCCAAGUCCAAACCCUGGGGCCACUAUUUACCAGUGAUGUGAUGUAACUAGAGGUUAAAUCUUGCUAACCUUAGUUUCCGCACCUGUUAGUAGCGGCAAUAAAACUUGGCUAGUAGAGACAUGCUGAGGAUCUCAUGAAGGCCUGGCACAGGGACUCUGGGUUCUUUGGCAUAGAAAAUACCUUGAAAGCUGUACGGGUACCCAUUGUCUGUAUCCAAACCUGAUGUGUGCUGGGACCAUUUCAGCGACUGAACUACUAGAAAUGUGAGCCCUUACCAGAUGCAUUUUUCUUCUCUGAUCUCCCCAAGUUCUUGGAUGUCUCUGUCUAGAAGGCGUUAUGAGGUUUAGCAGCAGCUUAUCUUUCUCAAGAAAUAGAAUAAAAUUCUCUUUCCAUUUCUACUAACAUCAUAUCCAACUUUGAAAUCCGGCAUUAAGUUCCCACAUCCUCUUUUCCACAGCGAUUUCUGAGCACUAACACCCAUCCAGGUCAGGAAUCCAGCAACUGAACCAAUGAAUGCAGCCAAAGAGCGAGAAAUAAAUUUCCUGUUUUCCCACUACAUUACCUGGCAUCCUUGCAGUGUUUCUCUCCUUAUGAAUUCAUCACAGUUGAAUCCUUCUUUGGAGAAGGCUGCCUCGGGUCAAAUCCAUGUCCUACCACUUGUAAGCUGAAGGAUGUAGCUCAAUCCCCUCAUCUAUACCUUGUGGAUAAUAAAAAUCUCUCAUCCAUGUAACAGAGCUUAUCUGUAUAAAGUGCUUGGAAUAGGACCUAGCUUGGUAGCAAGCACUCAGUAAGGCACUCCGUAGUUUUACUCAAUAAAAGUUUCACUUCACUUGCACCCUUAUACAUACAUGAAAACCUCUGGCUUGAAAGGAAUCUACACGCUGACCACAACCUCCAACACCUAGGAACCCAUUCUGCAACAUGGUAUUUUCAGUCUACUUGAGCCUUACUGCCUCAGGGAGCAGCAUCCCAUCUUCGGACAGCGCUAACUUCUAGGAGAGCAAGG
rnacentral:lncRNA from 1 species